GGCUCGCAGGCGGUUUCUUAAGUCUGAUGUGAAAGCCCCCGGCUCAACCGGGGAGGGUCAUUGGAAACUGGGAAACUUGAGUGCAGAAGAGGAGAGUGGAAUUCCACGUGUAGCGGUGAAAUGCGUAGAGAUGUGGAGGAACACCAGUGGCGAAGGCGACUCUCUGGUCUGUAACUGACGCUGAGGAGCGAAAGCGUGGGGAGCGAACAGGAUUAGAUACCCUGGUAGUCCACGCCGUAAACGAUGAGUGCUAAGUGUUAGGGGGUUUCCGCCCCUUAGUGCUGCAGCUAACGCAUUAAGCACUCCGCCUGGGGAGUACGGUCGCAAGACUGAAACUCAAAGGAAUUGACGGGGGCCCGCACAAGCGGUGGAGCAUGUGGUUUAAUUCGAAGCAACGCGAAGAACCUUACCAGGUCUUGACAUCCUCUGACAACCCUAGAGAUAGGGCUUUCCCUUCGGGGACAGAGUGACAGGUGGUGCAUGGUUGUCGUCAGCUCGUGUCGUGAGAUGUUGGGUUAAGUCCCGCAACGAGCGCAACCCUUGAUCUUAGUUGCCAGCAUUCAGUUGGGCACUCUAAGGUGACUGCCGGUGACAAACCGGAGGAGGGUGGGGAUGACGUCAAAUCAUCAUGCCCCUUAUGACCUGGGCUACACACGUGCUA
rnacentral:rRNA from 1 species